rnacentral:rRNA from 1 species
GACGAACGCUGGCGGCGCGCCUAACACAUGCAAGUCGAACGGAGCUGCGAGAAGCUUGCUUUUCUUAGCUUAGUGGCGAACGGGUGAGUAACGCGUGAGUAACCUGCCCUGGAGUGGGGGACAACAGUUGGAAACGACUGCUAAUACCGCAUAAGCCCACGAUCCGGCAUCGGAUUGAGGGAAAAGGAUUUAUUCGCUUCAGGAUGGACUCGCGUCCAAUUAGCUAGUUGGUGAGGUAACGGCCCACCAAGGCGACGAUUGGUAGCCGGACUGAGAGGUUGACCGGCCACAUUGGGACUGAGACACGGCCCAGACUCCUACGGGAGGCAGCAGUGGGGGAUAUUGCACAAUGGGGGAAACCCUGAUGCAGCGACGCCGCGUGGAGGAAGAAGGUUUUCGGAUUGUAAACUCCUGUCGUUAGGGACGAUAAUGACGGUACCUAACAAGAAAGCACCGGCUAACUACGUG